rnacentral:rRNA from 1 species
UACGGAGGGUGCAAGCGUUGUUCGGAUUUAUUGGGUUUAAAGGGUGCGUAGGCGGAACGGUAAGUCAGUGGUGAAAUCCUGUUGCUCAACAACGGAACUGCCAUUGAUACUGCCGAUCUUGAGUACAUAUGAUGUGGGCGGAAUGUGCCAUGUAGCGGUGAAAUGCUUAGAUAUGGCACAGAACACCGAUUGCGAAGGCAGCUCACAAAACUGUUACUGACGCUGAGGCACGAAAGCGUGGGGAUCAAACAGG